GAUGAACGCUGGCGGCGUGCCUAAUACAUGCAAGUCGAGCGAACAGACGAGAAGCUUGCUCCUCUGACGUUAGCGGCGGACGGGUGAGUAACACGUGGAUAACCUACCUAUAAGACUGGGAUAACUUCGGGAAACCGGAGCUAAUACCGGAUAAUAUAUUGAACCGCAUGGUUCAAUAGUGAAAGACGGUUUUGCUGUCACUUAUAGAUGGAUCCGCGCCGCAUUAGCUAGUUGGUAAGGUAACGGCUUACCAAGGCGACGAUGCGUAGCCGACCUGAGAGGGUGAUCGGCCACACUGGAACUGAGACACGGUCCAGACUCCUACGGGAGGCAGCAGUAGGGAAUCUUCCGCAAUGGGCGAAAGCCUGACGGAGCAACGCCGCGUGAGUGAUGAAGUUCUUCGGAUCGUAAAACUCUGUUAUUAGGGAAGAACAAAUGUGUAAGUAACUAUGCACGUCUUGACGGUACCUAAUCAGAAAGCCACGGCUAACUACGUG
rnacentral:rRNA from 1 species